ACUAUUGUGACAGCCAUAAAGACUGCAAUCCGUAAGAAAAGCCUGCCAACAGAAAGACUUUAUGGAGUGGGGACUGAUGGAGCAGCUGUUAUGACAGGGCAUGUGAAUGGUGUUGUGAAGCAACUUACUGACAGCUAUCCAAAGAUCGUGGGUGUGGCUUGUGCUGCUCAUAGAUUAGCCCUUGCCUGCAAGGACUCAUCCAACCAUGUUAAGUACAUGGCCACCUUCAGAGAUCACCUGCAAGAUCUCCACUUAUUCUUCCGCAACAGUGCAAAUCGCACUGCAACACUCAAGGCAGCAUCCAUCAACCUUGGUGUUAGUGACUUAAAAAUUAAGGUAAUUGUAAUUUGAUACUGUAGUAGUUAUCUUUUGUGUAUUCAUAAUGUAAAAUUUGAUAGCAUAGUUAUUUUCUGUCUAUUACAAAUUCUGUCUUUUUUGCAACAUUUCCAAAAAGUAAAAGACACACGUUGGCUGUCUCAGCACAAGGCAAUUGAGAACUUGCAGAGAAACCUGCCAGCAGCCCUGGCAGCCCUGGCAGAGGAGGCAGAAAUGCGUAGAUGUCCGGUGGCAAAGGGUCUUUAGACUUUUCGUGCCACCUACAGAUUUGUGGCUGCUGUUUACCUGCAAGCUGAUGUUUUGCCCCACCUUGCAAGUCUCUCUAGAGUAUUUCAGAAAGCAGACGUCAACUUCCUUCAUAUAAAGGAGAUGGUCCCUGUCACCAUUAACACUCUGAGGAACAUCAGAGAAGCUGGACAGACUCCACUCCCGGGAUCAUUUCUGUCUCGCCUCCACAAGGACCUGUGUCUUUGGACCUAAAUCGGCUGCUCUGCAAGAUGACUCUGUUAACAUCGACAAUCUGAGGAUUCUUGCCAGAAAAUUCUGCCCUGAGCAACAGAAUGAGGUCCUGCAGGAGUGGACUUCAUUUAAAAACCAUGUCCUUACUGGGGCAUUCAAGGACAAGAACCAGUCUGACAUCCUUACUCUACUGGCAAGUGAGUUCGACGAAUGGGAUAAUGUCUACCCUUGCCUCAGCCUCCUCGCAGGCAUUGCCUUGGUGAUCCCCAAUUCAAGUGUUAAUUGGAAACGGGAUUUUUCUACUCUGAAUAGGGUGAAAACAGACCUGAGGAAUCAGCUGCAAGGAGAACACCUAGCAGCCUGCCUGAGAAUCUCCAUCAACGGACCUGACCCCAAGGACUUUCCUUACGAUAAGGCCUUACAAUAUUUUUUUUUCGGAAGCCCGGAUAAAUUAAUUGCCCUAACAAAGGGUGCAAAGUCUGCAGGCAGUAGGAAACACAUGGUUAAGUGUAGGGAGUAAAACUGAUGGCAGUCUAAAGUUCAAGAUUUUUGGAAUGGGCUUUAAGAGACAUUUUAGCUUUUAUAUUUUAUAAGAUUAUAUAUUUUUUGUAAGAACCACUUUUAAUGUAUGUAUAUAUAUAUAUAUUCAGUGAAUACCUAAUUGUUCAAAUCUGUAUAUAAAUAUGUACAUAAAGUGUUGUAAUUAUAUUCCAACUCUGCGUUCUUCUUGGUCAUCCCCGCCGCUGCUGAUGACAUAGUACGGCUGGGCGAUAUAUCGAUAUAUACGAUAUAUAACGGGUUUGUCUCUGUGCGAUAUAGAAAAAGACUAUAUCGUAAUAUUCGAGUAUACGUUCUCACGCAGGACUUUUAGCUGUGGGCGUACACUUCAGGCUCUCCUUGCUCUUUCCUGUGUCUCCUUCUCACAGACAAGCAGACGCACAAUCUUACAUAAGUCACAUACGUGUCCGCCCUUGCAGAGCAGAGAGGUAGCGGCGUGGCUAAUGUAGCCGUACGAGAGAAAAAUGGUGCGGAUCUGGUAACAAAUGAAGGAAGACUUAAUUCCCAAUAAAAACAGCAGGGUUUCCAUCGUCUGGCGGUAGUUCGGCUUCAAGUGGUAAUAUGUCGAACAGACAACCGUAAUUUUUCAAGUGUGCGGGGAAAAAGCGUUCCUGUAAAAAGUAGCAUUACUGCUAAUAUGUAGCAUCAUUUGUAAAGUCACUCGCUAGAGAAUGAAGAGAAUUCCAUAACCUUAGUAACAUACCACAUAGUGAGGGACGAAUACUAUUUGAUUUCCUAUUAUGCAGCUCAUUUUUAUUUGACACUUAAAAUGUUUCUGACAAUCUUGCAAUUUAUGUUUUGGAAAUGACUUGAAUGUUUGUGACUUGAAUGUUUGUGCCAUUGUUUAAUAACUUUAAUAAAUACACUUUUGGUCAAUUGACUUAGUUG